GACGAACGCUGGCGGCGUGGAUUAGGCAUGCAAGUCGAACGGUAUCAUCCUUUCGGGGGUGAGAGAGUGGCGAACUGGUGAGUAACACGUAGGUUAUCUACCCUCAAGACGGGGACAACCCAGGGAAACUUGGGCUAAUACCGGAUGUGAGCAACUUUUUAGUUGUUUGAAAGGUGGCGUAAGCUGUCGCUUGGGGAUGAGCCUGCGUCCUAUUAGUUAGUUGGUGAGGUAACGGCUCACCUAGGCAAUGAUAGGUAGGCGGCCUUAACGGGUGGUCGCCCACACUGGGAUUGAGAUACGGCCCAGACUCCUACGGGAGGCAGCAGUCGAGAAUAGUCUACAAUGGUCGGAAGACUGAUAGUGCGACGCCGCGUGAACGAUGAAUCCCUUCGGGGUUAAAGUUCUUUUAUAUGUGAGCAGUGCUUCUUAUAUUAACAGUAUGGGGAAGAGAUAUUAGCAUAUGAAUAAGCAACGGCUAACUCCGUGCCAGCAGCCGGGUAAU
rnacentral:rRNA from 1 species